rnacentral:rRNA from 1 species
CGCGUAGGCGGUUCGAUAAGUCAGCUGUGAAAACCAUGGGCUUAACUCAUGGCCUGCAGUUGAGACUGUCGAGCUGGAGUGUGGGAGAGGAGAGUGGAAUUCCUGGUGUAGCGGUGAAAUGCGUAGAUAUCAGGAGGAACACCGGUGGCGAAGGCGGCUCUCUGGACCACAACUGAGCUGAGGCGCGAAAGCUAGGGGAGCAAACA